rnacentral:rRNA from 1 species
UACAGAGGGGGCAAGCGUUAUUCGGAAUUAUUGGGCGUAAAGGGCGCGUAGGCGGCCUGGCAAGUGGAAGGUGAAAUCCCUCGGCUUAACCGAGGAACUGCCCUCCAAACUGCUUGGCUUGAGUCCGGGAGAGGUGAGUGGAAUUCCCAGUGUAGCGGUGAAAUGCGUAGAUAUUGGGAGGAACACCGGUGGCGAAGGCGGCAUCCUGGACCGGCAUUGACGCUGAGGAGCGAAAGCCAGGGGAGCAAACGGG